AGCGAACGCUGGCGGCAGGCCUAACACAUGCAAGUCGAACGAACCUUUCGGGGUUAGUUGCGGUCGGGUGAGGCACACGUGGGAACGUGCCUUUAGGUACGGAAAACUUCAGGGUAGCUUGUGCUAAUGCAGAAUGUGCUCUUCGGGGACAGGAUUCAUCGCCUUUAGGUCGGCCGGGGUCUGUUUAGCUAGUUGGUGGUGGGAAUGCCUCACCAAGGCGAGGAUCAGUAGCUGGUCUGAGAGGAUGAACCGCCACAUCGGCACUGAGACACGGCCCAGACUCCUACGCGAUGCAGCAGUGGGGAAUCUUGCGCAAUGGGCGAAAGCCUGACGCAGCCAUGCCGCGUGAAUGAUGAAGUUCGUAGGAUUGUGAAAUUCUUUCACCGGGGACUAUAAUGACGGUACCCGGAGAAGAAGCCCCGGCUAACUUCGUG
rnacentral:rRNA from 1 species